UACGGAGGGUGCGAGCGUUGUCCGGAAUCACUGGGCGUAAAGGGCGCGUAGGCGGCCUGAUAAGUAGGGGGUGAAAUCCUGCGGCUUAACCGCAGGGCUGCCUUCUAAACUGUCAGGCUUGAGCACAGUAGAGGCAGGUGGAAUUCCCGGUGUAGCGGUGGAAUGCGUAGAGAUCGGGAAGAACAUCAGUGGCGAAGGCGACUACCUGGCCUGUUCUUGACGCUGAGGCGCGAAAGCUAGGGGAGCAAACGGG
rnacentral:rRNA from 1 species